GACGAACGCUGGCGGCGUGCCUAACACAUGCAAGUCGAGCGGAGACAGUGAGUAGCUUGCUAUGAGCUGUUUUAGCGGCGGACGGGUGAGUAACGCGUGAGCAACCUUUCCCAGACAGGGGAAUAACACACCGAAAGGUGUACUAAUACCGCAUAAGACCACGGGAUCACAUGGUUCUGGGGUAAAAGAAUUAUCGGUUUGGGGUGGGCUCGCGUCCGAUUAGGUAGUUGGUGAGGUAACGGCCCACCAAGCCGACGAUCGGUAGCCGACCUGAGAGGGUGAUCGGCCACAUUGGGACUGAGACACGGCCCAAACUCCUACGGGAGGCAGCAGUGGGGAAUAUUGGGCAAUGGAGGAAACUCUGACCCAGCAACGCCGCGUGGAGGAAGAAGGUUUUCGGAUCGUAAACUCCUGUCCU
rnacentral:rRNA from 1 species